CAACUGAGCCGAUCACAACUAGAAGAAGCGGCCGGCGGCCGACUGCUUCUUCCGGAUCAAACCAAGAGCCUUGGCAGACAGGGGUGCUGCACUAGUUGUGAUUGGCUCAGUUAUUUCAUCCAGUCCGAUUAGAUGAAAAACUUUAAUGGAGAUCUAUUAGUAGCUAUCUGAUGUUUUGUAAUAAUAUCUAUUAAAAAAGAAAAAGUCCUCAUUUCACCUUAUUUUCAACGGAAAUACGGAGACAGUGAGUUGAAGGUUUUCUGUGCGAGAGUUCCGGCGGGUCACUUCCUGUCUAUGGCGAGCUUGCUGAAAAGAGACUCAUGCAGCUACGUCGUCUCAAAUUACUCGUAAAUAUGACUUCGAAGAAGACUGGUGUAAAAGAAAGGUUUACGUGGAGUGUUUUGAUCAUCAACCGUGAACGAGAGCUGCAGAUGUGAGGCGCCCUACUUCCUUCAGCCGAAGAACGAGAAAUCCCUCCGCCUGUGGUUAAAAGCUUUAAGUCUGAAGAAACCACCGAAGCGACCGUAUUCUUUUCAUUUUGUAGACAAAAGACCGACAGAAGACCAACUAUGCCAGAAAAGUGGCUGGGCUACGAAGUUGCAUUAAAAGCUCCAAGGUGAUAAAGAGGAGAGCAGACAGAUGACAGCCGCUGUGAUGCAGAGGCUGACCGGACCGUUCCAUAAUCAGUCACCUAUGAAUAAAAAUGCUGUUACUACAGGCACUGAUGAUCACAUCUACGAGAAAAGAAGUAGAAGGAUGUAUGUGGCUGGCUUCCUGGAGUAUCUUGGUCCUGGCGAUGAAGUAACGGCAGACAGAGGCUUUACCAUCAGAGAUCUGCUGUUUGAGAGGAGAUUUAACCUUGUUCUACCAGCAUUCACCCAUAAAAGGAGGACGGUUGUCUGAUGAGGAUGUAACUGCCACAAGGAUUGCAGAUGUUCACAUACAUGUGUAAAGAGUUAUCAGGAGGCUCAAAGUUUUCACAAUAAUCACCCAGACUGUAACCAUCAGCUUCAAUAUAAAAUGGACAAAAUCUUCCGAAUCUGUGCAGCUCCUGUGAACACGCAGGGGGAAUCAUCCACAAGGAUGUUGAUUGAGCGGAGAAGUUUACAUGUCAAAAAGAUCCUGAUUAGUUAUAUUCUACUGUAAAUCAGUGGAAUUAAAAUACACUAUAAUGUGUUUUGGAUCUGUGCUUUUAAAUAUUUCUUUGUUUAGCACCUUCAGGUUUUACAUUUUGGAAUAAUUUUUUUCAUUUUUAAUAACUUAAGUAUUGUAUAUCCUUAUUUUCAGACUAUUCAGAUGUUUACAUAUACAAAAAUUGUGUCCAACUAAAAUGUGUACAAUUAAAUUUCACUAUCAA